rnacentral:rRNA from 1 species
UACGUAGGGUGCGAGCGUUAAUCGGAAUUACUGGGCGUAAAGCGUGCGCAGGCGGUUCGUUGUGUCCGUCGUGAAAGCCCCGGGCUUAACCUGGGAACUGCGAUGGAAACUAGCGAGCUGGAGUGUGGCAGAGGGGGGUGGAAUUCCGCGUGUAGCAGUGAAAUGCGUAGAUAUGCGGAGGAACACCGAUGGCGAAGGCAAUCCCCUGGGCCUGUACUGACGCUCAUGCACGAAAGCGUGGGGAGCAAACAGG